CACGUAGGGGGCGAGCGUUAUCCGGAAUCAUUGGGCGUAAAGGGUGCGUAGGCGGCCUUUUAAGCGCGGGGUCUAAGGCGGUGGCCCAACCACCGUUCGCCCCGCGAACUGGAGGGCUAGAGUGUCGGAGAGGGAAGCGGAAUUCCUAGUGUAGCGGUGAAAUGCGUAGAUAUUAGAAGGAACACCAGUGGCGAAGGCGGCUUCCUGGACGAAGACUGACGCUGAGGCACGAAAGCGUGGGGAGCGAACAGG
rnacentral:rRNA from 1 species